UGAGCGCGCGCAUGUAGCGCCAGCGCGCACACACAGUGCGCCGGUCCAACAUAGCCUAAUAAUAUUCACAAGUCGACCGCGUUUUCGUCAGCGCUUUGUUUUAACGUUUUCCCUGAUUUUCAACGGUUUUCAGACGGACAAAUUAGUGAAAUCAUUGUGCAACAUACCCAGACUAUCUCAGCGAUGUUCUCUGCCAUUGACGCCGUGGUCUAACAUCAACUGUCCACAACGCCAUCUACGAACGCAGAGUGAAAAUAUCAACCAUCUGGGAGGAAUUAAGCUCGUCUCUAAUACGAAAUACAAGCGACGCUGGGAUGUUGGCUGAGAUGUGGGAUACACGUGUGUGUGGGGAGUGGAAAACAACGACGAGACGGUAAAUACAGAGGGAAAAUGUUGGAAUCCGCAAGGAUAUUGCAGUAGGGAAGGUUGGCCAAGUCGUACCCCUAAAAUACAAUUGGCCCUAAAUUGAAAGUUUUGCAACAUAAUGUCAGUUUUUGACAUAUUCACCUGCUUUAGUUAAUAUAGCUUUAAUUAGU